AGUGGAUGGAUAAUAAUCCAGUGUAGUGAUGCAUAUCUAUUUCGACUAAGUUAGGUUCCGCAAAGUACACCAUUGACAUCUUGUUCAAUGCAGCGAUGACUUUUUGCUAAAAAAAACCCUGCAAAAGCAGGUUUUGUUUAUACUUUCAUUUACCACUACGAGACAGUGAUAUUGAAGCUAGGAGAGAGAGAGAGAGAGGAUCCUAGCUAGAGGCAGGCAGUAUAUUUUGGGAGUUGUCGUAUUGUAUGAACUAAAAAGAGCAAUGCAUGUCAUUAUCAUAUGGAGUAGAUACAAAUGACUAAAGGAGUUAUUUUUAAAUCAAUAUGAAAAUACCUGUUACUGUGUAAGAAAAUACUGUACUUGAAAAAUUUGUAUUUUCAUAACCUUGUUAUAAUUUUAUUAUAUUCCAUUUAUUUAAAA